rnacentral:lncRNA from 1 species
CUGUCUUUACCUCGGUGACCAAUACAAGUCUUUGUGGCGCUGGCUCAAAGCGUUGAACCUAAAGAAACCACCAAAACGUCAAUUUGUGUGCUCCUACCACUUCUUUGACAAGAAGCCUACAGCGAAGCGUCCUCACCCAGAAAAAUGGCUUGGCUACGAAGCUCCACUCGUGAAGUAGCGUCGGGCGUUGGUCAGGUAGUCGUCAGUGACAGGUGACACAACAGGCUCAAGUGUUUAGCAAAUUGAAAAUGUGGAUUGGCCAACACAGAAGGAAUGGAUAUGCCUUCAGAGAAGGAUGCCCAAACCCAAUGGGAAGACCCAUCUCUAAGUGAUCACAACUACAGCUCAGGUGAUCAUGUAAAGCCUGUGAGGCAGGGACACAGUACCCAGCAGCACCUCUCUACAAAACCCUGCUGAGGAACGAAGCACUCUGUUGACUGCAUACAGGCUUGUUUCUUGCUGCCAAAGGAAGCUUUCAGUUAGACCUGACAGACCAACUCCUGAUGACACUGAUGAAGCUGAAGCUCAGCUUGCUGCAGCAGUACCUAGCAGAAAGGUUUGGUGUUUCCCAGAGUAUUGUCAGUCAAGUGAUUAGUUAUUGGAUUGACAUGAUGGAAGAGAAUCGGAGGUAGUACAUUCCAUGGUUGCCAAGGGAGACCCCAUCCAUGCUACUAUGUGACAAUGUUUUAAGGACCACUGCCCAGGAACAACCUGCAUUAUUGACUGCUCAGAAACUGCUUUACAGAAGUGCAAGAACCUGGAUUCAAGAGGGGAGUCAUUCAGCCAUUACUAUGCCCAGAACACUAUCAAGUACCUGAUGGCCAUUGCACCUUGUGGUCUAGUGGUGUUCAUCUCCUCAGCAUAUGGAGGUAGAUUUAGUGACAAAUAUAUAACAUCGGAUUCUGGGUUCCUGGAGUACCUUUGUCCAGGUGAUAAGGUCGUGGCUGACCGGAGCUUCACAAUCUGAUCUGCUACACGAGAGGAAGGUCGAAUUUACAAUUCCAGCCUUCACAAAAAGAGGCACACAGCUGUCAGAGGACACCAUAUGUACAAGACGGAUAGCUAAUGUGAGGGUUCAUGUGGAACGCGUACUUCAAAGGCUCAAGUCGUUUAGAAUCAUCUCACAAACAGUGCCAAUCAACCUCUCAUCUGAAAUUGACAAACUACUUUGAAUCUGUGCUGACCUGUGUAACCUGUGCUGACCUGUGUGGUGAUAUCAUUCAUAAAGAUGCUGAAUGAACUGAUCAGUCAAAUGCCAUUCACAGGGUUGAUUUCCAAAUAUGAAUUAAAGUUGUCAAAAGUUACGUUAAAUACAUUUCAAUUCAUUCUAUAACAACUUUACUUAAUUAUUUGUUUUACAUACUCAUUAAUAUUAAUAAAAAACAAAG